rnacentral:rRNA from 1 species
CCUACGGGUGGCAGCAGUGAGGAAUAUUGGGCAAUGGAGGAAACUCUGACCCAGCCACGCCGCGUGAGUGAAGAAGGUUUUCGGAUUGUAAAGCUCUUUCGGAUGUGAAGAUGAUGACGGUAGCCUCUAAAGAAGCCCCGGCUAACUUCGUGCCAGCAGCCGCGGUAAUACGAAGGGGGCAGGCGUUGUUCGGAUUUACUGGGCGUAAAGGGAGUGUAGGCGGUUUAGUAAGAUAGUGGUGAAAUGCCAGGGCUUAACUUUGGAAUUGCCAUUAUAACGAUUAGACUAGAGUUACAGAGAGGAUAGUGGAAUACCCAGUGUAGAGGUGAAAUGCGUAGAUAUUAGGUAGAACACCAGUGGCGAAGGCGACUAUCUGGCUGUACAUUGACGCUGAGGCUCGAAAGCAUGGGGAGCAAACAGGAUUAGAUACCCCAGUAGUC